rnacentral:rRNA from 1 species
GAGUUUGAUCAUGGCUCAGGAUGAACGCUGACAGAAUGCUUAACACAUGCAAGUCUACUUGAAUUUGGGUUUUUUAACUUCGAUUUGGGUGGCGGACGGGUGAGUAACGCGUAAAGAACUUGCCUCACAGCUAGGGACAACAUUUGGAAACGAAUGCUAAUACCUAAUAUUAUGAUUUUAGGGCAUCCUAGAAUUAUGAAAGCUAUAUGCGCUGUGAGAGAGCUUUGCGUCCCAUUAGCUAGUUGGAGAGGUAACGGCUCACCAAGGCGAUGAUGGGUAGCCGGCCUGAGAGGGUGAUCGGCCACAAGGGGACUGAGACACGGCCCUUACUCCUACGGGAGGCAGCAGUGGGGAAUAUUGGACAAUGGACCAAGAGUCUGAUCCAGCAAUUCUGNGUGCACGAUGAAGUUUUUCGGAAUGUAAAGUGCUUUUCAGUUGGGAAGAAAAAAAUGACCGUACCACANAGAUG